CAUCCAGUGCUGGUUUGUGGGGUCUGACUUCCAAGCUGAGAAUCUGUAUAAAAAUCUCCUUUGCGACUGAAUGACGGUUGAAGUGGGCAACUGAUUCCGGAAAACCCACCCAGAGAUUUCCUUCCGUGAGCUCUACCGCCUUCAGAAGAUGAACAGACUGAUCACAUUUCUAUCAGAGCCAUGAAGGUGAUUUUUCCUGCAUCUUCACUGUGACAGCACAGUUCCUACAGUCUCUGUUCCAGAGAAGCAGACCCUGGCUGUGACUCUCUGGAACUACCUGUAUCUCCAGAUUUCGAGGUGGUGGUUUCUCUAUACGUCCAAGAAAGUCCAAAUCCCAGAACAGACUAAAUCACCUGUAGCAGACAGACGUCCUGUCUUCCUGGCGUCUUACCUGAUUCUGUAGCUAGCACCCUGCUUAUUCUGGAGUCCGUGUGUUCCAGCCAGUCCCAGUGCUUAUACCACUGGCCCCGGAGAUGAACCUCUGAUCUUCCAGGCAGGCCAGUAUGAGUGCUUCCCCAAGAUUUUCCGAAUUGGAGCUAUGGAGAGAAGAGAAGUUCUCCCAUGGACCCAAGUGCUGGGUCCCACAUCUCCAGCUACGCAGAGGAAGCGGGAGAACGGAGUCAUUACACAGAGGGAAAGAAAUGAGGCAUGGAGAAUCCUUGUGUAGUUUAUGUUCCUGAAAAGCUUCCUGAGCCCCUACUCUUCCUCACAUAUGAAUGAAUAAGCCAGUACAUAGGCUUUUUGCCCAAACUAGUAGGUUUCUACUAUUUCUGGCCGAGAAUCCUGGCUAAUAUAAAAGCUGAUAUGAAGUUUCAUUUUGGUUCAGUUUUUAAUGUCUAAAAUAUUAUCUUCAAACAAAAGCAGAAAAGUCUACUGGAAAAAAAAUACCUCGAGGCACUAGUUUCCCAAAGAACAAAAUCUAAGAUAGUAAGUUACAGAAGAAAGGCCUUUAAGAUCAAAUACUGAGCAAGAUCUUACCAUCUGGAUUUAUGUACAAAUCUACCCUAUACCACGGAAGCAUCUAUAAGUUAUGAAGAUAUUCUGUCAUGAAACGAUCUUAUAGGAAGUAUGAAAAAAAAGUUCAUAAUGUGCUUUGAGCAACUUGGAAAACAGUAUUUUCAAAAUCUAAUG